UCUAUAAUUCUAGAUAUGGGUUGAACAUCGAACAAUGCCCAGGUUAAAGGACAAAUUCAGACCUUUUUUGUUGCUAAGUUUUGAACUAAAAAACAAUAGUAUUGAGUAUUGGGCUUUUCAUGAAUGUUUUAGACCUACAUCUUAGUUUUCCAUC
rfam:Populus trichocarpa scaffold_15_contig_133, whole genome shotgun sequence.